rnacentral:rRNA from 1 species
AGCGAAGCACUUAAGUUUGAUUCUUCGGAUGAAGACUUUUGUGACUGAGUGGCGGACGGGUGAGUAACGCGUGGGUAACCUGCCUCAUACAGGGGGAUAACACACCGAAAGGUGUACUAAUACCGCAUAAGACCACGGGAUCACAUGAUUCUGGGGUAAAAGAAUUAUCGGUUUGGGGUGGGCUCGCGUCCGAUUAGGUAGUUGGUGAGGUAACGGCCCACCAAGCCGACGAUCGGUAGCCGACCUGAGAGGUUGAACGGCCACAUUGGGACUGAGACACGGCCCAGACUCC